GGAUACAGCUCAGUGGUGUAGCGCCUGUCUGGGAAACAUGAGGUCCUGAGUUCGAUUCCCAGUAUCCA
rnacentral:tRNA from 1 species